rnacentral:rRNA from 1 species
GACGAACGCUGGCGGCGUGCCUAAUACAUGCAAGUUGAGCGAUGAAGAUUGGUGCUUGCACCAAUUUGAAGAGCAGCGAACGGGUGAGUAACGCGUGGGGAAUCUGCCUUUGAGCGGGGGACAACAUUUGGAAACGAAUGCUAAUACCGCAUAACAACUUUAAACAUAAGUUUUAAGUUUGAAAGAUGCAAUUGCAUCACUCAAAGAUGAUCCCGCGUUGUAUUAGCUAGUUGGUGAGGUAAAGGCUCACCAAGGCGAUGAUACAUAGCCGACCUGAGAGGGUGAUCGGCCACAUUGGGACUGAGACACGGCCCAAACUCCUACGGGAGGCAGCAGUAGGGAAUCUUCGGCAAUGGACGAAAGUCUGACCGAGCAACGCCGCGUGAGUGAAGAAGGUUUUCGGAUCGUAAAACUCUGUUAGUAGAGAAGAACGUUGGUGAGAGUGGAAAGCUCAUCAAGUGACGGUAACUACCCAGAAAGGGACGGCUAACUACGUG